rnacentral:lncRNA from 1 species
UCAUGGCAAUCAAAACAAUAUAAAUAUAUGCCUCAUACACCAUACAAGUAGGCCACAGUUAAUCAAACAAGUAAGGUAUAAACAAAUAUAUAAUCGAAUCAAAUAAUCAAAGAAUGAAAUAAUAAAGCAUUAAACAAUGUAUGAGUGUAAGUGCAAAGGAACCGGCUCAUUGUAAGAAAGCCCAAGAGUAAGCUAUGUGAGGUCGAUGGCGAUGCUUAAGAAGCAAUCGACUUACAAGGGUGUGAAAAAUGGGCUCGAUAUUAAAUCGAGAAAAGUAUGAUUUUUAUAGUUUGAAAAAAAUGGUUUUUGAACUAUGCAUUUACUAACAAAUGAAAUUAUAAUAGACAUAAAAAAAGAUAUUAACAAAAUACUAAAAGAAUAAAAAAUGCUAAAAGAAAAAUAAUAUAACUAAGAGAAAUAAAAAUGCCAAAAAAAUACCACACAUGAGUGUUGAACCCACCCCACUCAAGAAUAUGCACACUUCCCUUCUCCACCAGACCACUCAGGGUUAUUUAAUAUUUUGAUGCUACUUUAAAUAUAUGAACUGGAAUAAAAAUUUAAAAUAAAAAAACAAAAUAAAUAUUUUCAUGGUUUUUUUGU